rnacentral:misc_RNA from 1 species
GUUUAAUGUCAUAAUUAGAAGAAAGUCUUGAGAAGAUUUUUGUCCUGACUGAACAGAUUUUUGACCAGCCAACUAGCAAGCCAUGCAUUGUCCUCAUCCUUACACUCCCUGCAAUAUGGCUCCUUGUGUGGGACAAGGCUGUGACCUGGAUAGCUUCCAAACUGGCUGGAAGAAAGUGUGUGACUUCAAUGUGGUCACCAUCACUUUGCAGAUUGCUUGAAUGCUUGGAAGAUCACCUGAGUGCCUGCACCAAUCCUGUGUCCAUCUUAUGUUGAAGGGAGCAUCGAGGCUCUUUCCAUGGUUAAGAUGAUUGAGCAAAAAGGAUCCAUUCACAGCUCCGGCAACAUCUCUGGAAUAACUGUGUGAAGGAACUCUGCCAAGAGCUGGAAUUGCAGUUAACAUAGAAGCUUGAGGCAUAGAUAGCUGUAUCAUCUGGUUAAUAACUGCCAUUUGAAGGAGUCUGCAACACAGUGUGACCAAUUGCCUCAGUGUGUCCAGGUCUAUCCUAGUUUCCUGAGGCACAUACUUCCCAUCUUACAAGUGGAAAUAGAGCAAAAACCAUAUACACAGGCUCUUGGGAUUUGAAUGUGAAAUGAUGCUCAAAUGUUGGACUACUUAUCCUCACUUUGGGGAGCAGCUUGGAGCACAGAUAUCUGUACCAUCUGCUUAGAAACUUCCAUUUGAAGAAGUUUGCAAUAUGGUGUGAUCAAGUUGCUUCGGAGGUAAAGGACUUUUAAGACUGUGGCCUUGUUAGCAGGAAAAGGUAGCUGGGGGUGGGCCUGGAAGAUGAUCUCUACCUUAAUUCCAGCUAAGCACUCUGGUUCCUGGUUCUGCAAGAUGUGAACAAAUGUCUUAGUCAGGGUUUCUAUUCCUGCACAUAAACAUUAUGACCAAGAAGCAAAUUGGGGAGGAAAGGGUUUAUUCUGCUUAGAAGUCUACAUUGCUGUUCGUCACCAAAGGAAGUUAGGACCAGAAUUCAAGCAGCUCAGGAAGCAGGAGCUGAUGCAGAGGUCAUGGAGAGAUGUUACUUACUGGCUCAGCUUGCUUUCUUGUAGAACCCAAGACUACCAGCCUAGGGAUGGCCCCACCCACAAUGGGCUCUUCCACCCUUGAUCACUAAUUGAGAAAAUGCCUUACAGCUGGAUCUCAUGAAGGCAUUUCCUCAAGGAAAGCUCCUUUCUUUGUGAUAACUAAGCUUGUGUCAAGUUGACAUACAAAAUCAUCCAGUACAACAAGUCACGUUAUAACCUCUCAAUGUCACUGAAUGAGACCCACCAUGCCUUUCUUGUAAUGAUAGACCAAUACCUCUAAAACAGCAGUUCUCAAAGGUCAUGGCCUCUUUGGGGUACAAAGAGUAUCACAUAUCAGAUAUCCUGCGUAUCAAAUAUUUAAUUAUGAUGAUUCAUAACAUAGCAAAAUUAUAGUUAUGAAGUAGCAAUGAAAAUAAUUUUAUGGUUGGGAUCUUAACAAUAUGAAGAACUGUAUUAAAGGGCUGCAGCAUUAGGAAGGUUGAGAGCCACUGCUUUAAAACAUUAUCAUUGUGUCACAGUGACACAAUGACCGAAGUUAACUGGACUGGAUGGGUCUGAAUAACACAACACUUAAGUCAGUCUGGGAAGGCCCACCCACCCAGUCUGUCACUCAUUAUCAAUUUCAACUUGCAUGUGUUGAGAAAGCAUCUUCUUAGACUCCUAGCUGGAUUAGCUCACUGGGUUAACCUGGUACAAGGAAUUGGACAUUUUGGUGGGCCAACAUCGAGAAGGAUAGAUUCGAGAAAGACUAGAGUAGAUUAUGUAUGAUCUCUAGCACCUGGCACUGACCCCCUUCCCUCCACUUCAUAUAUUUUCUCCCUCAAGACAGGAUAUGGUGAAGUGGAUUCUGUCCAAGAGGAGAGCGAGGGCCUUCAGGAAAAACAGGUCUCUAUUCAGGGAAAUAAAGCCUUGAAACAUCUCUGGAUUGCCCAUUAAGCAGCACUGUAAGAGGUGGAUUGAUUCUUGCCACAUGGAAACUCUUCAUGAUGAAGGGUUAAUGCAGGACUUUUAAAAAGUGCCCCCUGUUUCCAAACUGAAUAGUUUGUCUAGAAGGAGGGAUUUUGUUUUCUUUUCAGACUGGACCUAAAUUUGGCAUCCUAUGGAAGUUUUACUUUAUUCCAUCAGCACUCAGCCAAGUCUCCUGGGUCAGGAACAGCAGCUGAGAAAAGUUGAAUGAAUGGCCCAUUUUCUCUCUUCAUUCCUAUCCUUAAUUCCAUAUGUUUCUCAAUUUCUCACUUAUAAAUUUAAUUAGAUAAAUAUUUUUAAAUGUGGAAGGUGGAGACUUUGAGAACUCGAUGGAUUUGAAAUAAACUUUUGUGGCUCGUGGCAAAAAAAAAAAAAAAAAAAAAA